CCUCCCACGUACUAGUUCUGGCCGAUUAGUGUUAGCCCACUUAUUUAUCCGUAAAUAUUUAUCAACGUCUUUUAAAGCCGCUAACUGUCGAUCUAAAUGUUGCUCCUUGGAACUCACACGCGCAUAACCGAUUUUAGCCAUUUCCAAUUCUCCUUUUGGACAGUUCUAAUGAACACUUGUAAUCCCAUUCGCUCCCCUAGCUUUCGUCCCUGGUGUAGCGGUGAAAUGCGUAGAGAUCAGGAAGAACAUCGGUGGCGAAGGCGCUCUGCUGGACCAUAACUGACACUCAGGGACGAAAGCUAGGGGAGCGAAUGGGAUUAGAUACCCCAGUAGUCCUAGCCGUAAACGAUGGAUACUAGGUGUUGUCUGUAUCGACCCGGACAGUGCCGUAGCUAACGCGUUAAGUAUCCCGCCUGGGGAGUACGCACGCAAGUGUGAAACUCAAAGGAAUUGACGGGGGCCCGCACAAGCGGUGGAGUAUGUGGUUUAAUUCGAUGCAACGCGAAGAACCUUACCAGGACUUGACAU
rnacentral:rRNA from 1 species